ACGGGUGAGUAACAUUUAGGAAUCUGCCUAGUAGUGGGGGAUAGCUCGGGGAAACUCGAAUUAAUACCGCAUACGACCUACGGGUGAAAGGGGGCGCAAGCUCUUGCUAUUAGAUGAGCCUAAAUCAGAUUAGCUAGUUGGUGGGGUAAAGGCCUACCAAGGCGACGAUCUGUAACUGGUCUGAGAGGAUGAUCAGUCACACCGGAACUGAGACACGGUCCGGACUCCUACGGGAGGCAGCAGUGGGGAAUAUUGGACAAUGGGGGCAACCCUGAUCCAGCCAUGCCGCGUGUGUGAAGAAGGCCUUUUGGUUGUAAAGCACUUUAAGCAGGGAGGAGAGGCUAAUGGUUAAUACCCAUUAGAUUAGACGUUACCUGCAGAAUAAGCACCGGCUAACUCUGUGCCAGCAGCCGCGGUAAUACAGAGGGUGCGAGCGUUAAUCGGAAUUGCUGGGCGUAAAGCGAGUGUAGGUGGCUCAUUAAGUCACAUGUGAAAUCCCCGGGCUUAACCUGGGAACUGCAUGUGAUACUGGUGGUGCUAGAAUAUGUGAGAGGGAAGUAGAAUUCCAGGUGUAGCGGUGAAAUG
rnacentral:rRNA from 1 species